CCCUUAGAUGUCCUGGGCUGCACGCGCGCUACACUGAUGUGUCCAGUAAGCACCUAACCUCUUCCGAAAGGAACGGGUAACCUUUGCAAAGCACAUCGUGAUGGGGAUAGAUUAUUGCAAUUAUUAGUCUUGAACGAGGAAUUCCUAGUAAACGCAAGUCAUCAGCUUGCAUUGAUUACGUCCCUGCCCUUUGUACACACCGCCCGUCGCACCUACCGAUUGAAUGACUCGGUGAAAUAUCGGGACCGUUGUCUGGUUUGAUUCAUUUCGAACUAGAUAGUGGGAACUUUCUUUAACCUAUUUAUUUAGAGGAAGGUGAAGUCGUAACA
rnacentral:rRNA from 1 species